rnacentral:rRNA from 1 species
UACGGGGGGGGCAAGCGUUGUUCGGAAUUACUGGGCGUAAAGGGCUCGUAGGUGGCCAACUAAGUCAGACGUGAAAUCCCUCGGCUUAACCGGGGAACUGCAUCUGAUACUGGAUGGCUUGAGUUUGGGAGAGGGACGCGGAAUUCCAGGUGUAGCGGUGAAAUGCGUAGAGAUCGGGAGGAACACCAGAGGCGAAAGCGGCGACCUGGACAGGUACUGACACUCAACUACGAAAGCGUGGGGAGCAAACAGG